rnacentral:lncRNA from 1 species
CGUUGGGAAAGCUCGGGCCGCGCAGGAGCCCACGGCGGGCUGGGGAGGCUCAGGCACGGCGGGCUGCAGGUCCCGAGCUCUGCCCCGCGGGGAGGCAGCUAAGGCCCGGCGAGAAAUCGAGCACAGCAGCUGUCGGCCCAUGUGCUAAGCCCCUCACUCCCCGGGUCGGCGGGGCCCGCCGGCCACUCCGAGUGCGAGGCCCGCCGAGCCCACGCCUACCCGGAACUCGCGCUGGCCCGCAAGCGCCGCGCGCAGCCCCGAUUCCCGCCCGCGCCUCUCCCUCCACACCUCCCUGCAAGCUGAGGGAGCCGGCUCCGGCCUUGGCCAGCCCAGAAAGGGGCUCCUACAGUGCAGCGGCGGGCUGAAGAGCUCCUCAAGCACGGCCAGAGUGGGCGCUAAGGCCGAGGAGGCCCCGAGAGCGAGCGAGGGCUGUGAGCGCUGCCAGCAUGCUGUCACCUCUCAAUAGUAAGUUCUGGAAGCUGAGAAGUCCGAAAUCAAGGUACCAGCAGGGUCCGGUCUGCUGAGGGCUGCUCUCUGCUGUGCCCUCCAGAGAGAACAAAUGCUGUGUCCUCCAGGAGGAAGACCUGGCUCUCUGUGAAGACAUGGCUUGGAUUUAAUUGGGUUGUAAUGCACACAAAGUAAUCAAGUCAAAUCCACAAAUGGCCGUUGAGGACAACUAUUACAAGGAAAUAAGCUUGACAAAAUGCCCCUUUACUAAUUUCUGGCCUGAAAUCUACAGACCUUGCACCCCAGUUGAUAAAUAGCAGAAUUGGAAUUUAAACAGGCCUGGUGACCCAAAAACUUGACUCUAUAUCUUACCCUGAAGAAAUAUGCAAGUGAUAUCAAGCCUGAUAUUGAAACUUUAGUCCACUUCAUCAGACUUUGGAAAAAAACGUGACACUCAACAUAGCAGGUGCCCUAGACAAUGACGGAAUCUCGUUGAAAGCUCUUUAAGCUGAAAUUAAUUUAUGCUCGACAGUGAUUAAAAGAGAAAGUGAGAAGGGGAUGGAAAUUAACAAAUCCAUCUUUAUUGCUGAGAUCCCAUUAUGAUUAUAAGGAGAGAGAAAAAUCAACGUGGCGGGUGCCAGCUGCAAUCUGGUCCUAAGAUGGUACAUGGUUCGUUGUUCAACAAUGAAAAGGGAGUGGAGAAAUAGAAGCCUGGAAAGAGGAAACUAGAGGAAGAGAAACCACAGAGAGCAGUUUGAAGGCAGAAGCACGCCCACAGGGUGCUUUGGAGACCCUCCAGGCUGCAGAGAAGAGCAAGGUAAAUAGGCGUGGAG